AGGACGAACGCUGGCGGCGUGCUUAACACAUGCAAGUCGAGCGGAAAGGCCCUUCGGGGUACUCGAGCGGCGAACGGGUGAGUAACACGUGAGUAAUCUGCCCCUAGCUCUGGGAUAGCUCCGGGAAACCGGGAUUAAUACCGGAUACGACCACUUUAGACAUCUGUUGUGGUGGAAAGAAUUUUGGCUAGGGAUGAGCUCGCGGCCUAUCAGCUUGUUGGUGGGGUAAUGGCCUACCAAGGCGACGACGGGUAGCCGGCCUGAAAGGGCGACCGGCCACACUGGGACUGAGACACGGCCCAGACUCCUACGGGAGGCAGCAGUGGGGAAUAUUGCGCAAUGGGCGAAAGCCUGACGCAGCGACGCCGCGUGGGGGAUGAAGGCCUUCGGGUUGUAAACCCCUUUCAGCAGGGACGAAGCGAAAGUGACGGUACCUGCAGAAGAAGCGCCGGCUAACUACGCGCCAGCAGCCGC
rnacentral:rRNA from 1 species